rnacentral:miRNA from 1 species
UGGAGAGGGGAAAACUCCUUAGC